UCAAGCAGUUCCCAAGAAGUUUCCCACUUAUCCAGGGGUUCUGUUCUGUCCUGAGUAUCUUCUCCUCCUGCAGGGGUUGGGGAAAACACUACACAGACCUGCCCCCUCCUCCCCUCCCCUCAGUCUCUCCCAUACCUCCCACCUGGCCCGGGAAGAGAAGGGCAACUCCUAACAACCACUGCACUGUGUAACCACUGGCACCUCAGUUUCCCAUCUGUAAAAUGGGUACCCAUCGCCACUGGUAGGAUGCUUUGGAAUGUCAAGGGGGAAAGGUGCAGAGCACAAGUCACACCAGAAACUUUUAUACGUUUUGUAUAAGGACCACUUUGGAAACAGGCGUAUUUCCUCCAGUUGUUUUCAUGGGUGGCAGUACUGUAUCACAUGCUACACAGUUCAGGGUGAGAAUUUCCUAAUAAACCUUUCAGAUACUAAAA